AAGGUUCCUUAGGCACCGGAAACCGCCUGCGGAGGCGGGGCGUCCUUUGGCCCCGCCCGUUCGGGGAGGUGGGCGUGGCAAAGCCUGUCCGGGACACUUCGGCUCCGCCCAUCCAGGACCAGAGCCGGGAAGGUUUUCUAAAGCUGUUAGAAAGAGGAGCCUCCACAAGGAAAUGAAGAUCUGAAGAAACCAUUAAACCUGAGUGUUUUCAUACUAAGUUAGAUGAGGUAAAUACCUAGGCAUGGAAUGAAUGGCUGGGUCAUGGAGUAGAUCAGGGCUUCUCAGCUCAGCAUUAUUGUCAUUUUGAGAAUCAUGGAGGCAGAUCUAUGUGUAACUUUGAAGAAACCUCCAAACAGUUUUUGCAGAGUGCUUGAACUCUGAUUUUACAUCCCUACCUACCAUACCUAAGAAUUCUGGGCCUUGCAGACCUAGCCCAGCCAUGGUCAACCCACCUUGUUCUUAGACAUUGUCAUGGGUGGUGAGGCCUUGGGCUGCAUCUCCAUUGAGCUGUUGGCAGACCACAGAAAAUUUUCAUGCUCUGAGCACUGGGCAGAAAGGAUCUGGUUAUAAAGUUUCCUGCUCUAACAGUAUUAUUCUGGGAUUUAUGCGCCCCGGUGGUGCCUUAACACCACGAUGGCACUGGCAGCAAGUCCAUCUAUGUGGAGAAAUUUGAUGAGAAUUUCAUCCUGGAACAUAUCAAUCCUGGCAUCUUGUCCUUGGUAAAUGCUGGACCAAACACAGUGUUUCAUCUACACUGCCAAAACCAAGUGAUUGGAUGGCAAGCAAGUGGCCUUUGGCAAGGAGAAAGAGGGCAUGACUAACGUGGAAGCCAUGUGGAACACCCUGGAUCCAGGAAUGGCAAGACCAGCAAGAAGAUCAACAUUGCUGAUGUGGACAAAUCUAAUAAAUUUGACUUGUGUCACAUCUUAACCACAAGAUCAUUCCUUCUGUAGCUUAGGAGAGCACCCCUGCUCCACCAUCUCCUCAAAAUAUCCCAUAAUCUUUGUAUUCCUUGGGGCAGUUCUAUGGGUUCCAUAUUUUCCUUAUCCCCCUCCACAUCAAGUUAUAUUGCAGAAUCAAAUUUAUGAUUAUGAAAUAAAAACUAAACAACA